UAGUAUAUAGUCGACACCACACGUACCUCUGCACAAUCACACACCACACUAUAUUUCACCAUGUCCUUACCACACAACUUAAUUUGUCACACAAGGAUAAUUUUUUCACGUCUCUUAGUAAAUAAAAUAAAAUAAAAUAAAAUAAAAAAGAGAAGAAAAAGAAAACCUCUAUAUUUAUCAUGAGGCAAAACCCUCUAUCCUCAAACUAUUAAUUUUAGCCUUUUAUUUUCGAUUCAAA
rnacentral:lncRNA from 1 species